GGUGAACGCUGGCGGCGUGCUUAAGACAUGCAAGUCGAACGGCAGUCUUCGGACUGUAGUGGCGCACGGGUGAGUAACGCGUAACUGACCUACCCCAAAGUCGCGGAUAACGAUUCGAAAGAAUCGCUAAUACGUGAUGUGCUGUCAGAUUGUGUUCUGCCAGUAAAGAUUGAUUGCUUUGGGAUGGGGUUGCGUUCCAUCAGCUAGUUGGUGGGGUAAAGGCCCACCAAGGCGACGACGGAUAGCCGGCCUGAGAGGGUGGCCGGCCACAGGGGCACUGAGACACGGGUCCCACUCCUACGGGAGGCAGCAGUUAGGAAUCUGCCACAAUGAGCGAAAGCCUGAUGGAGCGACGCCGCGUGAGGGAUGAAGGUCUUCGGAUCGUAAACCUCUGAAUCAGGGACGAAAGACACUUCGGUGGGAUGACGGUACCUGAGUAAUAGCACCGGCUAACUCCGUGCCAGCCGCCGCGGUAACAC
rnacentral:rRNA from 1 species